GCUCUCGGGCCGGAGCGCCCCGCCGCGCCGCUCUCCUCCAGGCGCCGCCCCAAGCACAUGCUUGGUGGGCUGGUGCCUGGAGCCGGCCCUGGAUACAGGUAUUUUUGUGAGGAAAGAGGGGGAGGAAUUAGUCCUAACUGAAGGGAAGAGGGUUUGAAACAGACGACAGCCCAUCUGCCCGCUGUUCUGAAAGUCUAAGGCUCAGAACCUCGGCUGAUAUACAUCACCAUUGCUCUGUUGAUUUCAGUGAAGCUACAAUGACUGAGGUCAGCUGAAGAUCUGGGCACUGGACUGUCGUUUGGUUUUUGUGCUGGUAGUUCUGUCUUUGUAGAGUGCAUUUUCCCUCACUUAGCCAGUCCAGCCUUUCAGUUACACAUUUUUCUGUUACACUGGCAGGUGGAUUUUGAAGUACUGUAAAUACCAAAGGACGGGAACAUUACGUUUCUUUCCUCAGUUAAGAGUGGUAUUUUUUUUUCAACUAAAAGAACAUUCAGCCAUCCCUGAAUUUGCAGGAACAGUCUCUUAAAGUUUUUAGUCCUUCUCAGUCCAGUCAUGUAUUUUGUUUAAGAAGAAUACUGUGAAAAGGUAAGAAGUACUAGAUGUGAAAGGUAUAUUAAGGAUCUACUAUGAGUUGGCAGAGGGCAGCAGGAGAGUUAAAAAGUUACCUGCUGCUCACGGGGUAAACUUUGAAAUGAACAGCGGUCAGAAUCACAGCUAUUUAAUCAGUUUCUAAUUCUGCUUUCAUGUACUCUGGUGUAAAUGCAGAACUUUCCAUCCACACAGAGCACUCACUCCAGAUUUAGACCCUAAUUCUAUCAGUGUACAUUAAUGUCAAUGGCAGUAGAAUUUGGCUCUAAUUGUUGUAGAUAUACCUUACAUAGCAAAUGAAUUUUCAAAGCUAUGUCACCCUUUCGUUAUCUCUGAAGCUGGGAAUCAUGUGAAUGGUGUUUUCAGUGACAACAGCCGUUUUACUGUUCAAGGUUGGCUAAAAUAUUCACAGCAACAGCUUGAAAAUCUUGAAACUUUGCAUUUCGCUUCCAUUUGGUGAAAUUAAAUUAACUUUGGAAAAAAAGCUGCUAAAUUUUGUUUCUUGCACGUUAGGAAUAAACAUGAACCCUUGUCAAGGGGGAAAAAAAUCUAGAAAUGACUGAAACUUUGAAAUCAGGUGGUUUAAAAAAAUUGGCCAAGAUUGAUUGAUUUUUUUUUUCAUUGAAACAAAUGAAAUUUCAAAAUUUCCGGCAUUACAAUCUGCUCUUUCCUGGGAUUGUGGGAAGUUUUGUGAUGAAAUUUCUAGAAUCAGAUAGAAUUCAGGUGGAAACUACUCUCUCUUGUUAUUAUUUAUUCAUUUGUGGUAGCACCCAAAAUGUACUAAAGAAAGCCAUCGUCCCUACCCCAAAAUGCUUACCUACGUCUUUCUUUGUUAUCCUCUGACUGUUGAAAUGGCAAAUGUCUAUUGCUGGCUAAUUAGUAUUUUAAAUUAUAUUUGUUACAAUUUGAAAUUUAAACUUGUUCUGCCCUGUAAUUAGAUGUGGGAAUAAGAAUCUUUUUUUUUUGCACCUUUUAAUUGAAGGUCCUGGAAGUUUCUAAAUAGAUCUUGCAUCCAAAAUAAAAACAAUAGUAACACUAGAUGAGGGAGAGUUCCAAUUUGGGUGUAACAGUGACUUCAAAAACAGAUUGUCUGGGUUUAAGGCUCAUGGAGUCAGUAAAUUCUGUGAGUAUCACAGUGUGAUUCACCAAAAGGGCCACUGGCAAUUGCAAGGAAAGACCUUUUUAAUUUUUUUUUAAAUGCCUGUAAUUCUCCACCUGAAAAAUAAAAUCUUUGAUUUGCCAUGGAUUAAAGAUGUUUGGUUGUCUAAGUCUUUGCUUGACUUGGUUGCUCCAUGCCUUUAUAUGUCAAAUUUGCACGGAGCAUUUCAAUCUUUCUUUUUAACGCUUGGCCAAUGAGACAGUCACUCGAUGUCAAUCGAAGGUUAUGAUUAUUGUGUUAUGAGGUCAUAGGCCACCCAGGGACUUCGAGGGCCAAAUUCUGCCCUUGGAUAUGCAUGACACAACUUCCAUUGAUGUCAGCAGACAUAGCGCACACAUUCCAAAGGCAGAAUAUAGCCACCAAACACCUUGCACCAUGUCCUUGGAAUAUUCCGUGGCAAGGAUCUUCUGCUAGAACCAGGCUGUGAUAGUUAAUCCUAUUCUGAAUUGAGAGGUAGUGGGUGACUUCUUAGGGCUUGAUUCUGCAAGCCAUCCUAGGAGUAGACCCACUGCAAUCAGCAGCUAUUAAAUCAGUAAGCCCUGUGGCCUGGUAGGGUCAAACAUGCACCCGGUUACAUUCCUAAUGUGUUAUAUAGGGGACAGAAAAGGUGUGCGGUCUUUGGGUGAUGGAACGGUAGAGUAACUAAUUGAGUGCUCAUUCCUGCUCUUCAACAAAAUUCCCUGUGAAGUCGGUGCAAGUCUUGUUCUUUAUAUUUCUAUCCUGCCAUUUGUAAAGGUGCCUUUCUCUUUUGCUGGUAUGAAAACCUCACUGGCCCUUCUGCCAAAAGAAGUUUCUGCAUCUCUCUUUUAAUUUCUUGUGUUGGUUUUUCUGUGAACAAAUGCCGGGAAGUGGGUUGCAGAAUAUGGAACUCAUUAGAAGCAAGGAUCUCAGAAGGACGUGGGUAUACAUGUUUUUAUGCAUCUGAAGUGAACUUUAAGCAAACCUCUGGCCCCGGUUUACUUUCUGCUUUUCCAGUACCGUUUGGGAGAAAAUGGAGUUAUCAAACCAGGUAAUAAACUUUGCGUCUUUCUGCUUCAAAAUGCACAAGUAACCUGUCUUAAAGUGAAUACAAUAGCUGUACUAAGCCAGAAGUGUGUGUGUGUGUGUGUGUGUGUGUGUGUGUGUGUGUGUGUGUGUGUGUGUGUGUAUGUGUGUGUGUGUGUGUGUGUGUGUGUGUGUGUGUGUGUGUGUGUGUGUGUGUGUAUAUAGGGGAGGUAAAAUCUGCCAUUUAGGAGAUUUUUAGAACAGUACAAGAGAUUAAAAAAAAUGUAAAAUAUUUAUUCAUCGGUGAAAGUACAUCAAACUGCAUUUUCAUCCAUCUUUUCAUUGCUUUAUGUUUAUUUACUGAGGCUUUGCCUGCCUGUUUCCCCUGCAGUGUGUUUUCCCACUGCUGCUUACCAGUUCCUAACCUUAGAUGCCCGUAUAAGAAUCCGUGAGCUGGUAACAUAGGCUAUAUGAUGAAGAUAUAAAAUCUGUGGCCGAUCCAAAGCUCUUAUGUCAAGAUAGAUGAAAAUGGUUGAAAAGGACAGAGAAAUGUAUUGAAAGGCCAGGCAAUUUGGCUAGAAAGCUUAAUUUUCACUUCCUUGCAUCGGCUGGGUAACUCUUCCCUACUGAAAAACAAAACAACCCAAACCAUAAUGUAGGCCCCGAUCCAAUUCCUGUUGUCUUUUGUGGGAGUUGGAUUAGGCUGAGAUAUUGCAAGUGUUUUCCAGGCAAUCUGUACAUCUUCAUGCCGUAUUGUAUUUCUCUUCGGUGUAUGAUCUGCCACAGCCAGUUACUGUGAACAAGUGUUAGGGACAUGGUUUG